rnacentral:rRNA from 1 species
GACGAACGCUGGCGGCGUGCUUAACACAUGCAAGUCGAACGAGACCCCGUCUUCGGGUGGGUGUUCUAGUGGCGAACGGGUGAGUAACACGUGGGGCAACCUGCCCCCGGCUCUGGGAUAACUCCAAGAAAUUGGGGCUAAUACCGGAUAUUUCCGCUGACCGCAUGGUCUGGUGGUGGAAAGGGUUUCCGGCUGGGGAUGGGCCCGCGGCCUAUCAGCUUGUUGGUGGGGGUAGUGGCCUACCAAGGCGACGACGGGGUAGCCGGCCUGAGAGGGUGACCGGCCACACUGGGACUGAGACACGGCCCAGACUCCUACGGGAGGCAGCAGUGGGGAA